UAUAUACUCCCUCCUUUCCAUAUUAGUUGUCGCGGAAACGGAUGUAUGUAGACAUAUUUCGGUGCUAGAUAUAUCCGUUUAGCGACAACUAAUAUGGAACGGAGGGAGUAGCAA
rnacentral:pre_miRNA from 1 species